UGUCACAUUUCUAAAUGAUUAUUCCACAAUC
rnacentral:piRNA from 1 species